GCCCCAGACUCCUACGGGAGGCAGCAGUGGGGAAUAUUGCGCAAUGGGCGAAACCCUGAUGCAGCGACGCCGCGUGAGCGAUGAAGUAUUUCGGUCUGUAAAGCUCUAUCAGCAGGGAAGAAGAUGACGGUACCUGACUAAGAAGCCCCGGCUAACUACGUGCCAGCAGCCGCGGUAAUACGUAGGGGGCAAGCGUUAUCCGGAUUUACUGGGUGUAAAGGGAGCGUAGACGGCGAUGCAAGCCAGAUGUGAAAGCCCGGGGCCCAACCCCGGGACUGCUCUGGAAACUGCGGCGCUGGAGUACGGGAGGGGCAGGCGGAAUUCCUGGUGUAGCGGUGAAAUGCGUAGAUAUCAGGAGGAACACCGGCGGCGAAGGCGGCCUGCUGGACCGUGACUGACGUUGAGGCUCGAGAGCGUGGGGAGCAAACAGGAUUAGAUACCCUAGUA
rnacentral:rRNA from 1 species